AUGAACACUGAGGUUAACUGUGGCUGGAGAGACCUGCAGUUCCUUGGAUGUUCUCCUGGAACCUUAGGUGACUCUCUGGAUGAUUUGCUCCUGGAGAAGUUCUUGCAGGCUGGCCAAUCCCAUCUGCUUCUUCUACAGUUAUGAUCAUUGAUCUUAAAGCUCGAGAGACCUGCAGCUCCUCGGAUUUUCUCCUGGAACCUUAUUCCCGCAGGCUGGCCGCUCCCAGCCAGGUUCACCAAUGUCCCUAGGAUUCUUCACUUGUAGAUAAUGGCUCUCACUGUGGUUUGGUGUCUGAGAACUUCAGAAAUUGUUUUAAAACUCUUCUAGAUUGAUAUCUAUAUAUUUCAAAAAGAGAGCAACAUCAUCUCUUUUGUCCUUUUUGACAUGGGCUAGUUUCAUGAUGAAUAACCGCAACAUCUCAGUCUGAGAGCAUCCUGACCUGUGGUCAGAUAUAGAAACUGUUCCGUCUCAGACAGGAAAGCCCUGCAACAGGUGGUGAAGACUGUCCAGUCCAUCACUGGGUCGAGCUUCCCUGCCAUUAACCCUCUACUGCACAGUCUUGCCAAAUGGCAACGAUUAUUUUAUCAGAAUUUUACUAAGAACAGUGAAAUAAAAUCUGUGUUGUGGAAAAAGGUCUUUUACUUUGAAAGGACAGGUACUUUAUGACAUCACAUGACCAGUGAUUUUUAUUGUGUUGUUAUUACCAUACAUUCAAAAUACCAAUUGAAAUAGUAUAAAUUUCCGAUAUUUGUAAAUAUUGGUUUGUACGUUUCAGGUAUAAGUUGGAUUUGUUUGUUCUUGUUUUCAAUAAAAGGAUAAAAAUUUUAUGAUACCUUUUUUAAAGAUUUUAUGGUGCUAUGGUACAACUGUACAUUGUUGCCAAAUAGGAACAAUUUACCCAGUAACCCAUUGAAAUUUUAGAAAUACAUGUUUUUGUUUUUUUUUUAAUUUUUAAAAAAAAAUUUAAAAUAACAGAAACACAUUAAAACAUUUGAUCAUGUUCAUGUAAUAAUUCACGCAGUGGAGGGUUAAGGACACCUACACCAAACGAUUUAAAAGUAAGGAGCGCAGCGUCAGGAUGGAUCCCUCUCAUCCACACAGACUGUUUACACCACUCUCAUGCCAUGAAGAUCUACGGAGCUUCGGGGACAAGUCCUCAGCAGGCAGUCAGACUGCUGAGCAGAUCCACCUGAUGGACCUUUAAACCUUUAAAGACCUUCUCACUGACCUGCUACCGCAGCCUUACUUCUCACUUUAUCUGCUGCACUUUAACUUCCACACUCAGCCAAUUUACUGUGACACUUUAAUCUUACUCGCUUUAAAUGCACAGUCACUUUAAUCCAUCCUUUGUCUGCAGCUUUAUUUUUCUUCGUGUUUGCAUUAAAAUACUAUUGCUAAUUGAUAUUGCUAUUGUUAAGCUACUGUAUACUUACAGAGGAAUUGUAGUGUUUGUAGUGUCUAUUUAGUGUGUUUUCUGCCUCUCUGCUGCUGUUCUCUAUUAAAUGUCGAUCUGAGUCAUUAAAAA